rnacentral:rRNA from 1 species
UGGGGAAUAUUGCACAAUGGGCGCAAGCCUGAUGCAGCCAUGCCGCGUGUAUGAAGAAGGCCUUCGGGUUGUAAAGUACUUUCAGUCGGGAGGAAGGUGGUAAGGUUAAUAACCUUAUCAAUUGACGUUACCGACAGAAGAAGCACCGGCUAACUCCGUGCCAGCAGCCGCGGUAAUACGGAGGGUGCAAGCGUUAAUCGGAAUUACUGGGCGUAAAGCGCACGCAGGCGGUUGAUUGAGUCAGAUGUGAAAUCCCCGGGCUUAACCCGGGAAUUGCACCUUAUACUGGUCAGCUAGAGUCUUGUAGAGGGGGGUAGAAUUCCAUGUGUAGCGGUGAAAUGCGUAGAGAUGUGGAGGAAUACCGGUGGCGAAGGCGGCCCCCUGGACAAAGACUGACGCUCAGGUGCGAAAGCGUGGGGAGCAAACAGG